rnacentral:ncRNA from 1 species
AAAUUAGUGACGCGCAUGAAUGGAUUAACGAGAUUCCUACUGUCCCUAUCUACUAUCUAGCGAAACCACAGCCAAGGGAACGGGCUUGGAAUAAUUAGCGGGGAAAGAAGACCCUUUUGAACUUGACUCUAAUCUGGCAGUGUAAGGAGACAUAAGAGGUUUAGAAUAAGUGGGAGAUAUUAUUCCUUGUAUUUGAUAUCGCCAAUGAAAUACCACUCUCUUAUUGUUUCCUUACUUACUUGAUUAAAUGGAACGUGUAUCAUUUCCUAGCCAUUAUACGGAUAUAUUUAUUAUAUCUUAUGGUAUUGGGUUUUGAUGCAAGCUUCUUUAUCAAAGUUUCACAGUUUGUUAUAUAAUCGCAAAAAAAUUCUUUAAUGAGAGAGUGCAUUUAUGUAUUUUUAAUUUGAAAUAUUUGGUAUAACUCCAAUUACUCAGGUAUGAUCCAAUUCAAGGAUAUUGCCAGGUAGGGAGUUUGACUGGGCGGUACAUCUCUCAAAUAAUAACGGAGGUGUCCCAAGGCCAGCUCAGUGCGGACAGAAACCACACAUAGAGCAAAAGGGCAAAUGCUGACUUUAUCUCGGUGUUCAGUACACACAGGGACAGCAAAAGCUCGUCCUAUCGAUCCUUUUGGUUUAAAGAGUUUUUAACAAGAGGUAUCACUGUGAAGCAAAAUUCACCAAGCGUUGGAUUGUUCACCUAUGCAAGGGAACGUGAGCUGGGUUUAGACCGUCGUGAGACAGGUUAGUUUUACCCUACUAAUGAAAAAACGUUGUUGCGACAGCAUUCCUGCGUAGUACGAGAGGAACCGCAGGUACGGACCAAUGGCACAAUACUUGUUCGAACGAACAGUGGUAUGACGCUACGUCCGUUGGAUUAUGCCUGAACGCAAUUUGCAUUGUAUGGCUUCUAAACCAUUAAAAGCUUAUUUUAUAAACGACAAUAGAUGUGAUGUCAAUGUUAUUUGUAACAUAGUAAAUUGGGAGGAUCCUCGAUCACCUGAUGCCGCGCUAGUUACUUAUUAAAACAUAAUUUAACACAAUGACAAAGCCUAGAAUCAAUUGUAAACGACUUUUGUAACAGGCAAGGUGUUCUAAGUGGUUGAGCAGCUGCCAUACUGCGAUCCAAUGAAGCUUAUCCUUUGCUUGAUGAUUCGA